AGCAAAUGAGGGUCAGGUACAGACGAGAAAGUAACCAUCGGGAAUAGCGAUCCUGGUAGAUCUAUGCAGCAAAUCGACGAGUACACAAGGAAUUGCAGUUUCCUCCUCUGCACUCAAGUAGUUACAGUUUUCAAGCACCCUUCCACGGGAGUACGACGGCAAGGUUGAAACUCAAAGGAAACGAGGGGGACCCGCACAAGCGGUGGAGCAUGUGGUUUAAUUCGAAGCAACGAGAAGAACCUUACGAAAUCUGGACAUCGUUUGACAACUCUAGAGAUAGAGCUUUCCCCUUGGGGGGACAAAGUGACAGGUGGUGCAUGGUUGUCGUCAGCUCGUGUCGUGAGAUGUUGGGUUAAGUCCCGCAACGAGCGCAACCCUUAAGCUUAGUUGCCAUCAUUAAGUUGGGCACUCUAAGUUGACUGCCGGUGACAAACCGGAGGAAGGUGGGGAUGACGUCAAAUCAUCAUGCCCCUUAUGAUUUGGGCUACACACGUGCUACAAUGGACAAUACAAAGGGCAGCGAAACCGCGAGGUCAAGCAAAUCCCAUAAAGUUGUUCUCAGUUCGGAUUGUAGUCUGCAACUCGACUACAUGAAGCUGGAAUCGCUAGUAAUCGUAGAUCAGCAUGCUACGGUGAAUACGUUCCCGGGUCUUGUACACACCGCCCGUCACACCACGAGAGUUUGUAACACCCGAAGCCCGGGUGGGAGUAA
rnacentral:rRNA from 1 species